rnacentral:rRNA from 1 species
GAUGAACGCUGGCGGCGUGCCUAAUACAUGCAAGUCGAGCGAACAGACGCCGCCCUUGCUCCUCUGACGUUAGCGGCCGACGCGUGAGUAACACGUGGAUAACCUACCUCUAACACUGGGACACGUGCGGGAAACCGGAGCUAAUACCGGAUAAUACAUUGAACCGCAUGGUUCAAUAGUGAAAGACGGUUUUGCUGUCAGCUAUAGAUGGAUCCGCGCCGCAUUAGCUAGUUGGUAAGGUAACGGCUUACCAAGGCAACGAUGCGUAGCCGACCUGAGAGGGUGAUUGGGCGCACGUUGAGGUGUGCACGCUGGCGGAGCCUACGCGAGGAACCAGUGUGGAGGGUUCCGCAAUGGGCGACGGAGUUGCGGAGCAACGCCGCGUGAUGCAUUGAUGGAGGCGAAUCGUAAAACUCUGUUAUUAGGGAAGAAGAGGGGGGUAAGUAACUAUGCACGUGUUGACGGUACCUAAUCAGAAAGCCACGGCUAACUACGUG